rnacentral:rRNA from 1 species
UACAGAGGUCCCAAGCGUUGUUCGGAUUCACUGGGCGUAGAGGGCGCGUAGGCGGCCUGAUAAGUAGGGGGUGAAAUCUUGCGGCUUAACCGCAAGGCUGCCUUCUAAACUGUCAGGCUAGAGCACAGUAGAGGCAGGUGGAAUUCCCGGUGUAGCGGUGGAAUGCGUAGAGAUCGGGAAGAACAUCAGUGGCGAGGGCGGCCUGCUGGGCUGUUGCUGACGCUGAGGCGCGACAGCGUGGGGAGCAAACAGG